GGUACUGGCGGACAGCAGCCAGUCAGCGGCCGAACCCCAGUGCGGGGCCCGGUACCCGCGGAGACACAUCCCGGCUGUACGUGGUGCGGUAGCGCCCCGGCUCUGCGGUGGUUGUGUAAAGCCCCAGCUCCUGGAGUCCCGUGAGAGCCUCCGCAUCCCUUAACCGUUCUAGCCCGCAGGACAGCGGAGAUAAGCGGGAAGACUUGAACCUUAGCGGCUCCAAAGGCAGAAGGAAAAUGUAAACAGCCCAAGAGGCGUUGUGUGCAUCGCACAGCCUUUGGGGCCUGAUGGUCAUUGGACACGGGGAGGUGCAAAACUGGUUCAGGAGGGAUACUAUCUACAGAGCUGAAAGAUGAUCUCAUGAUACUUGUCAUGACAAACAAGAAAUCCAACUGUACAGGCUCCACCUCCCCUGCAGGAAGCCUGAUUAAUUUAUCUUUGCAUGGGGAAUUCUGUGCAAGCUGAGGGGAAUGCAAUCUACAACUCCAGUCUGUGGGAAUACUGUGGACCUGCAGAGCAGAGGUCUGCAACCAUUGCUCUAGUCUGUGUGCUGGAAUACUGGCUGAAACUCCAUCAUGCCCCUAUCAGGAGUUUUGGAUAAUUGGAUCACAGUAACCACAGAUACCAUGGUCUUGCCCUGAACAUGUUCUCAACAGAUCACUAUGUCCCAACCUAUAACAAUUUUUAGAAACUGAAAUAUUUCUAAAGUUCUUUGUAAAAUGUGUGCACAUACAAGAAAACAUCAUUUUUAAGCUCAGACCAUUAAAACCUUUAUACUGUGUCUUGUCACACUAUCAUUUACUGUUGUAUAUUCCACAUAUUUUACGGAUAAACUAUUUUAGAAAUGUUUUAAAGAACAUAAAUAGUUUUUACUAAAUCAUGAAGAUUGUUAUCUAGUCUUUUCUUCCUAGAGAUCUCUCAACCAUGCACUGACCAGACUCUCAUCUUGUGAGCUCUUUGAGGCAAGGAUUGUGUCUGUUUACACCUUCCUGAGUCCAGUGAAGCCCUGACGCUGAUCAGGCUCUU